UACGUAGGGUGCGAGCGUUAAUCGGAAUUACUGGGCGUAAAGCGUGCGCAGGCGGUUUUGUAAGCCAGAUGUGAAAUCCCCGGGCUUAACCUGGGAACUGCAUUUGUGACUGCAUCGCUGGAGUGCGGCAGAGGGGGAUGGAAUUCCGCGUGUAGCAGUGAAAUGCGUAGAUAUCUGGAGGAAUACCGGUGGCGAAGGCGGCAUCCUGGACCAAUACUGACGCUGAGGCGCGAAAGCUAGGGGAGCAAACGGG
rnacentral:rRNA from 1 species